CCGACUUGGAAAUCGUAGAUAGCGCAAUGCCUACAGAAGAACAUUAUUGCGACAUUUUCUCAGCGUGCAGCUCAGGUUGCUCGCGUACUCCAAAUUGAGGAAUCUGAGAAAAGAAACUUGUCCCUUGUGACUAAAAAGAGGACUGUUGAAUUCGGCAAUGGGAAAAAUGGGAUUGUAACGGGAAAAGUCGUAUCCCAUCAAUAAGCAGUAGUCCAAAUACCUGACGAAAACAGUCCGAAGAAAAAGCAUGAUUAUAUCAUUUACGUGCAAGGGCACAUCAUAACUGACUUCGACGAUACUAAAGGGUGCUGCAACAGCCGCGGUGAGCAGGAUAUGCUUUCCCGUUUUGGCUAUG